rnacentral:rRNA from 1 species
UACAGAGGGUGCGAGCGUUAAUCGGAAUUACUGGGCGUAAAGCGUGCGUAGACGGUUAUUUAAGUCGGGUGUGAAAGCCCCGGGCUCAACCUGGGAAUUGCAUUCGAGACUGAAUAGCUAGGGUACGGUAGAGGGAAGCGGAAUUUCCGGUGUAGCGGUGAAAUGCGUAGAUAUCAUCCGGAACGCCUGUGGUGAAGACGACUCGCUGGGAAUGUGCUGACGCUGAGACACGAAAGCCAGGGGAGCAAACGGG